CCUGGUGGUCCAUUGGUUAGGACUCUGCACUUCUAUUGCAGAGGGCACAGGUUCAGUCUCUGGUCUAGG
rnacentral:tRNA from 1 species